rnacentral:rRNA from 1 species
AUGGGAACCCUUAUGAACACCGAUUCUGAUGGGUGGCGCGCGCAGAUGCAUGCCCUUAUCGGUAUGGUUCCUCCGGAGCCUCGGGAACCAGAAGCAGAAGACAAGAAGAAGGAAAGAGUCGCAGCCGGUGCUCCUUUCACGUGGAUUACAUUAAACUUUGGUACUUGCCCUGAGGAUGCUAAUGAGGACACGGUCAAGACAUAUGCUCGUGUCUACAUGUGGUACGUGAUAUCCAGGACUAUGUUUGCUGAUGGCACAGGCAAGAAUGCUCCAUGGAUGUGGCUGAAGGCGUUGACCGUCUUCGAUAGCAAAUGGAGUUGGGGUUCAGCGACACUGGCUUACUUGUAUCGACAGUUGGACGAAGCCUGUUGUAGGCAAUCUGGAGGUAUUGGUGGUUGUCUGCUCGCACUUUCCAUAUGGAGUUGGGAGCGUUUGCCGGUUGGACGACCGAAGAUCAUGAAGUACGAGGAUUGGGACGACAAAGACGACCCACUACGGCUCCCCACUUGGGCUCUCAAGUGGGACGGAUGA